UACGGAGGGUGCAAGCGUUUUUCGGAAUCACUGGGCGUAAAGCGCGUGUAGGCGGCCUGUUAAGUCAGGUGUGAAAUCCCUUGGCUCAACCAAGGAACUGCAUCUGAAACUAGCUGGCUUGAGUACGGGAGAGGAGAGUGGAAUUCCCGGUGUAGAGGUGAAAUUCGUAGAUAUCGGGAAGAACACCGGUGGCGAAGGCGGCUCUCUGGACCGAUACUGACGCUGAGACGCGAAAGCGUGGGGAGCAAACAGG
rnacentral:rRNA from 1 species